CUACGGGUUGCACCAGUGAGGAAUAUUGCACAAUGGAGGAAACUCUGAUGCAGCAACGCCGCGUGGAGGAUGACGCAUUUCGGUGUGUAAACUCCUUUUAUAUGUCAAGAAAAUGACGGUAGCAUAUGAAUAAGCACCGGCUAACUCCGUGCGCAGCAGCCGCGGUAAUACGGAGGGUGCGAGCGUUACUCGGAAUCACUGGGCGUAAAGGACGCGUAGGCGGGAUAUCAAGUCAGGUGUGAAAUCCUACAGCUUAACUGUAGAACUGCACUUGAAACUGGUAACCUAGAGUAUGGGAGGGGGAGAUGGAAUUAGUGGUGUAGGGGUAAAAUCCGUAGAUAUCACUAGGAAUACCUAAAGCGAAGGCGAUCUCCUGGAACAUAACUGACGCUAAGGCGUGAAAGCGUGGGGAGCAAACAGGAUUAGAUACCCUAGUAGUC
rnacentral:rRNA from 1 species